rnacentral:lncRNA from 1 species
CCCCCGUCUCCAAAGGCUGUGAGAUAACUCCCCUUGGACGUCAAAACAAGCAAGGCCGAAAUCAAACUCCUGGCCCACGCUAGACCCAGCUCGUCCUCCAGGUCCUUCCCGCUCGUCCUCCGGGUCCCUCACAGCUCGUCCUCCGGGUCCUUCCCGCUCGUCCUCCGGGUCCCUCACAGCUCGUCCUCCGGGUCCUUCCCGCUCGUCCUCCGGGUCCUUCCCGCUCGUCCUCCGAGUCCUUCACAGCCUCGUCGUCCGGGUCCUUCCCGCUCGUCCUCCGGGUCCUUCCCAGCUCGUCCUCCGGGUCCUUCCAGCUCAUCCUCCGGGUCCCUCACAGCUCGUCCUCCGGGUCCUUCCAAGCUCGUCCUCCGGGUCCUUCCAGCUCGUCCUCCGGGUCCCUCACAGCUCGUCCUCCGGGUCCUUCCCGCUCGUCCUCCGGGUCCUUCCAGCUCGUCCUCCGGGUCCCUCACAGCUCGUCCUCCGGGUCCUUCCAGCUGAAGAAGUGGCAGCGUCUUCUUUCUUUUGCUCAGACCACAAACCUAGGGAGCGUCCCUGGGUCCUCCCUUUGCCUCACACCCCGCAUCCAAUCUGCCCACACAGCCAUGGGUUC